GGGUCAGUAGGUUGGUCGUGCCACCGGUACGUACUGGUCUCACUGAUUCCUCCUUCCCGAAGAACCGUAAUACCAUUAAUUUUGUGUUGCGGGGAAACAGGACUGUUACUUUGAAAAAAUUAGAGUGUUUAAAGCAAGCUAACGCUUGAAUACAUUAGCAUGGAAUAAUGAAAUAGGACGAUCGAUCCUAUUUUGUUGGUUUCUAGGAUUGACGUA
rnacentral:rRNA from 1 species